rnacentral:tRNA from 1 species
GGUCGUAUUGCUCAGUGGUAGAGCAGUGCUUAACAAGAGGUACUAGGUUCAAUUCCUAGUACCUCCA